rnacentral:rRNA from 1 species
CCUACGGGUGGCAGCAGUGAGGAAUAUUGGUCAAUGGACGAGAGUCUGAACCAGCCAAGUCGCGUGAAGGAUGACUGCCCUAUGGGUUGUAAACUUCUUUUAUAUGGGAGUAAAAUGUUCCACGUGUGGGAUUUUGUAUGUACCAUAUGAUUAAGGCUCGGCUAACUCCGCGCCAGCAGCCGCGGUAAUACGGAGGAUCCGAGCGUUAUCCGGAUUUAUUGGGGUGAAAGGGACCGUAGGUGGAUUGUUAAGUCAGUUGUGAAAGUUUGCGGCUAAACCGUAAAAUUGCAGUUGAAACUGGCAGUCUUGAGUACAGUAGAGGUAGGCGGAAUUCGUGGUGUAGCGGUGAAAUGCGUAGAUAUCACGAAGAACUCCGAUUGCGAAGGCAGCUCACUGGACUGCAACUGACACUGAGGCUCGAAAGUGUGGGUAUCAAACAGGAUUAGAUACCCUUGUAGUC